rnacentral:snRNA from 1 species
AUACUUACCUGGCAGGGGAGAUACCAUGAUCAUCAAGGUUCACCCAGGUUGAGGCCCAGGCAUUACACUCCAGCAGGCUGACACCUACAAAUUCCCCAAAUGUGGGAAUCUCGACUGCAUAAUUUCUGGUAGUNNNNN